UACGAAAGGUGCAAGCGUUACUCGGAAUCACUGGGCGUAAAGCGCGCGUAGGCGGUCUCGUAUGUCGAUUGUGAAAGCCCCGGGCUCAACCUGGGAACUGCAGUCGAAACUGCGAGACUUGAAUGUUGGAGAGGGUGGGGGAAUACCUAGUGGAGAAGUGAAAUUCGUAGAGAUUAGGUGGAACACCAGAGGCGAAGGCGCCUGCCUGGCCAAACAUUGACGCUGAGGCGCGAAAGCGUGGGGAGCAAACAGG
rnacentral:rRNA from 1 species